rnacentral:rRNA from 1 species
CCUGGUUGAUCCUGCCAGUAGUCAUAUGCUUGUCUCAAAGAUUAAGCCAUGCAUGUGUAAGUAUGAACAAAUUCAGACUGUGAAACUGCGAAUGGCUCAUUAAAUCAGUUAUAGUUUGUUUGAUGGUAUUUACUACUCGGAUAACCGUAGUAAUUCUAGAGCUAAUACGUGCAAGAAACCCCGACUUCUAGAAGGGAUGCAUUUAUUAGAUAAAAGGUCGACGUGGGCUUUGCCCGUUGCUCUGAUGAUUCAUGAUAACUCGACGGAUCACACGGCCUUUGUGCUGACGACGCAUCAUUCAAAUUUCUGCCCUAUCAACUUUCGAUGGUAGGAUAGUGGCCCACUAUGGUGGUGACGGGUGACAGAGAUUUAGGGUUUGAUUCCGGAGAGGGAGUCUGAGAAACGGCUACCACAUGCAAGGAAGGCAGCAGAUGCGUAAAUUACCCAAUCCUGACACGGGGAGGUAGUGACAAUAAAUAACAAUACCGGGCUCUAUGAGUCUGGUAAUUGGAAUGAGUACAAUCUAAAUCCCUUAACGAGGAUCUAUUGGAGGGCAAGUCUGGUGCCAGCAGCCGCGGAAUUCAAGCUCCAAUAGCGUAUAUUUAAGUUGUUGCAGUUAUAAAGCUCGUAGUUGGACUUAGGGGUGGGUCGGUCAGUUCACCUCACGGUGAGCACCAGUCUGCACGUCCCUACUGCUGGCGAUGCGCUCCUGGCCUUAAUUGGCCGGGUCGUUCUUCCGGCACUGUUACUUUGAAGAAAUUAGAGUGCUCAAAGUAGGCCUACGCUUGUAUACAUUAGCAUGGGAUAACAUCAUAGGAUUUCGAUCCUAUUGUGUUGGCCUUCGGGAUCGGAGUAAUGAUUAACAAGGACAGUCGGGGGCAUUCGUAUUUCAUAGUCAGAGGUGAAAUUCUUGGAUUUAUGAAGGAAGAACAACUGCGAAAGCAUUUGCCAAGGAUGUUUUCAUUAAUCAAGAACGAAAGUUGGGGGCUCGAAGACGAUCA